rnacentral:lncRNA from 1 species
CGAUAAGUCCAAGGAAUAUGUGAUUGGGAGAAUGCAAUCUAAAGAAGUUAGAUUCAUGAGACCAUUCUUUUGUAGACACAUCCUAAAUGUUCCUAAUCAUAGGAUUGCCAAUUAGGCAUUGACAGUCCGUUAAGAUCAGUACGUGCUGUGUCUUCUCUCAGGGAGAGUGACUAGUCUCGAGUCAUUGGUUUGUGCGACAUCAAGACAAGUACGUAGGUGCUCAAUAGAGAAUGAAUUCACUGAACACGAUCAACGAAGAGUUCUCAUAUUCAUGUCACAUGAGAACUCAUGGUUGGGAUAACGCAAAGUAGUCCUUUGACCUGAGGCAUCAUAGUUGUCUUGUGGUUAAGUCCUUGAUCUUUGAUUAUGUCAAAGUCACCCCAUCCGUGGGUGUCCACGGCAUCGUUGGGGUUAAGCCACUUAGCCAUGGAGGCAAUUGAAUGCGCAACAAGGGAUCUCUAACCUUCAAACCGUUUGAGGGAGAAUACUCUAUGAUAUGAUUGAAAAUCUCUGAUCAGAGUAUGAAUGAGAUUUAGGAAGGCGUUCC